CCAACAGGGAUUGCCUCAGUAACGGCGAGUGAAGCGGCAAAAGCUCAAAUUUGAAAUCUGGCUCUUUCAGGGUCCGAGUUGUAAUUUGUAGAAGAUGCUUCGGGUGUGGUCCCGGUCUAAGUUCCUUGGAACAGGACGCCAUAGAGGGUGAGAAUCCCGUAUGUGACUGGGUACCUACGCUCAUGUGAAGCUCUUUCGACGAGUCGAGUUGUUUGGGAAUGCAGCUCAAAAUGGGUGGUAAAUUUCAUCCAAAGCUAAAUAUUGGCCAGAGACCGAUAGCGCACAAGUAGAGUGAUCGAAAGAUGAAAAGCACUUUGGAAAGAGAGUUAAACAGUACGUGAAAUUGUUGAAAGGGAAGCGCUU
rnacentral:rRNA from 1 species